rfam:Bombyx mori DNA, contig: Bm_scaf4_contig4180, strain: p50T/Dazao, build 2, whole genome shotgun sequence.
CCAGUCGUAGCCGAUGUUCCACAAGAGAGGGCCAAGGACCGACCCCUGUGGGACACCGCGCUCGACGGG